UGCCAGCAGCCGCGGUAAUACGGAGGGUGCGAGCGUUAAUCGGAAUUACUGGGCGUAAAGCGCAUGCAGGCGGUUGAUUAAGCGAGAUGUGAAAGCCCCGGGCUUAACCUGGGAACUGCAUUUCGAACUGGUCAACUAGAGUCUUGUAGAGGGGGGUAGAAUUUCAGGUGUAGCGGUGAAAUGCGUAGAGAUCUGAAGGAAUACCAGUGGCGAAGGCGGCCCCCUGGACAAAGACUGACGCUCAGAUGCGAAAGCGUGGGGAGCAAACAGGAUUAGAUA
rnacentral:rRNA from 1 species